GAACCUCGUUUGGUAAAGGAAGAGAACGUGAAAAAUGAAGGAAUGACGGAAAAUCAUAGAUUCAACGGUCAAAAUUGGGAGCGGAGAUAUGAAAGACCUGCGGAUCCGAGAUUAUAAGGUGUAUGUAUGCCCCUUUUUUGUUUUACAUUCGAGCGGGAACCAGCUUGAUCUGUGAAUGUGCUAUAUGCGUAUGUUGGUUUUAAAUUGCUGAACAUAAUGAACUGUAUGAUUUGGGCCUGUGUAUCCGUGUAUGAAUAUGAUCUCUGCAUGCUCGUAAUUUUCCUUUGUGUUUGUGCAUGUUUCCUGAUGAUGAAUGUUGAGCAAAAUUUUGCAUGAAAUUUGAUCUGCGAUAUGCGGACCCUUCUGCACACUUGGAUCGCCGAUUGUAGAACCGUGUUCAUGGGAGAGACUGUGAAGUAAGUGGAUCCAAGUAAUGUAGAAGCUUCCAAGCAAACCCCACUGCUGUGUGGGAAAGGUCUUGGUGGCACAUAAACAUGGGUAGGACUCGGUUCUGGUGGGAUUAUAGGAUCAGCAUGUGCUGCUCUCUCCCCUGGACGUGAAUAACGGGCAGAUGGCUCCUCAGUUCCUACACAAACCUCUCGAUCAUCAUAGCUUGUCCCACAGUUUAAUGCUUGAAUCAGAAAUCCUUGAUUGGUUAUUUCAAUGUACAAUUCAGAUAAUUCCAACAAUUUACAGAGUUUGUCCUCUACCGGAAGCUCCUGUGACACAUUAAACUGCCCAAAAUAGUGUUCAAGAUGCUUUUGCAAACUUGGGGUGUAGAGCUCUGAAUAUGGAUUGUUCCAAUUUCUUUGAGUUGUUUCUCAUAUUGAUAUGCUCCUGGA